GAGGGUGUAGCUCACUUGGUAAAGCGCAUGCCUAGCAUGCACAAGGCCCUGGGUUCUACCCCAGUACCUCCA
rnacentral:tRNA from 1 species